GUAAGGGAUAUUGGUCAAUGGGCGGAAGCCUGAACCAGCCAUGCCGCGUGCAGGACGAAAGCCUUAGGGUUGUAAACUGCUUUUAUUGGAGAAUAAACCUCUUUGCGAGACAGAGAGCUGAAGGUAUCCAAAGAAUAAGGAUCGGCUAACUCCGUGCCAGCAGCCGCGGUAAUACGGAGGAUCCAAGCGUUAUCCGGAUUUACUGGGUUUAAAGGGUGCGUAGGCGGCUAAUAAAGUCAGGGGUAAAAUACAUAAGCUUAACUUAUGGCCUGCCUUUGAAACUUAUUAGCUAGAGUAUGGUGAGUGUAGGCGGAAUGUGACAAGUAGCGGUGAAAUGCAUAGAUAUGUCACAGAACACCGAUCGCGAAGGCAGCUUACAGUACCAUAACUGACGCUGAGGCACGAAAGCGUGGGGAGCAAACAGGAUUAGAAACCCCGGUAGUCC
rnacentral:rRNA from 1 species